UAGCGUUUCCUGUUCUAGAACUUCAUUUGUCACAGAAUGUGGACUCUUGUGUUAAGUCUUCCUUCAUGGUGGGGUGCAGGUGCUGCCACCUGCAUUGUUGCAGGUUCUUGCUGGGUGCUAGGGCGUUGUGUGAGCGGACCACAGUUGCCUGUUCUGUUGGUGGCAGUUUGGGCACUCUCUGGGUCUGUUGGCCACACCGGUGUGGGGGCAGUGGCUGAUGCGGCCAUGCUGUAUUUGCAGAGGCACAUUGCGUUUCACUUCCAGUCCCAUGUUGCGCACAGUUGUGCCUUGUCUUGAGUGCAGCCUGGGUUUCUUUAAAGUGGAGGGAGAACGGAGAUGCACACGAAGUAUUCUGACUGUGGAGGACACUAUUGCCCAUUGGUGAGUGCACCCGAUCUCUGGCCUUUUCUUCCCUCCCCAGAGGUGAGGGGUACAGUGGAAUUGAAAGUUUCCACCCUCUAAGCAUGGUGUGGUUUUUCCAGUAGCUGGCCCGCAUCGUGAAGCAUAGACACACUCCCUGCUCGGGAGAUUCCAGGGGUUUUAGGAGCUCUUGCCUGGAGCCAGGACAAAGACCAGAUAAUUUUUAUGUCAAUACAGAUGUCUGUCUAGUGAGGAGAGGUCCUCAGAUGCUGUGGAAUGGAAUUGGAAGGACUUGGCUUGCAUUCAUCACCGAGGACCCCAGCGGGUGGUGCCGUUGCUUCUUGUCUGGGCCUUGCUGUGGCUUGUAGGAUGACAGAGUUAUUCGG
rnacentral:lncRNA from 1 species